rnacentral:rRNA from 1 species
UUAAAGGAAUUGACGGGGGCCCGCACAAGCGGUGGAGUAUGUGGUUUAAUUCGAUGCAACGCGAAGAACCUUACCUGGUCUUGACAUCCCGGAGACCCUUAGGAAACUAGGGGGUGCUUCCAUCUGGAAGAAUCUGGAGACAGGUGCUGCAUGGCUGUCGUCAGCUCGUGUCGUGAGAUGUUGGGUUAAGUCCCGCAACGAGCGCAACCCUUGCCUUUAGUUGCCAGCAGUUCGGCUGGGCACUCUAAAGGGACUGCCGGUGUUAAACCGGAGGAAGGUGGGGAUGACGUCAAGUCCUCAUGGCCUUUAUGACCUGGGCUACAAACGUGAUACAAUGGCUGGAACAAAGGGAUGCGAAGCAGUGAUGUGGAGCGAAACCCAUAAAAACAGUCUCAGUUCGGAUUGAAGUCUGCAACUCGACUUCAUGAAGUCGGAAUCGCUAGUAAUCGCGGAUCAGAACGCCGCGGUGAAUACGUUCUCGGGGUUU